GCCCUGGUGGCACAACAGUUAAGCACUUGGCUGCUAACCAACAGGUUGGUGGUUCAGUACCACCCAGUGGCU
rnacentral:tRNA from 1 species